rfam:Medicago truncatula strain A17 chromosome 3, whole genome shotgun sequence.
AUAUAAGCAAAAAUCCACUUUUUAGAUACAUUCAAUUAAUGAUGUAUGUGAUCUAAAUUUUAGAUCACAUACAUCAUUAAUUGAAUGUAUCUAAAAAGUGGAUUUUUGCUUAUAU